GGAGUUUGGGCCGUGUCUCAGUCCCAAUGUGGCCGUUCACUCUCUCAAGCCGGCUACUGAUCGUCGCCUUGGUGAGCCGUUACCUCACCAACUAGCUAAUCAGACGCGGGUCCAUCCCAUAGCGCUAAAGCUUUCAAUACAGAAGCAUGCGGAUCUGUAUUACUAUGCGGUAUUAGCAGUCGUUUCCAACUGUUGUCCCCCUCUAUGGGGCAGGUUACCCACGCGUUACUCACCCGUCCGCCACUAGAAUUUCUCUGAAUCCAUCGAAACUUCAUCAAAGAGUUCCCGUUCGACUUGCAUGUGUUAGGCACGCCGCCAGCGUUCAUC
rnacentral:rRNA from 1 species